GACGAACGCUGGCGGCGUGCCUAAUACAUGCCAGUUGAGCGCUGAAGGUUGGUACUUGUACCAACUGGAUGAGCAGCGAACGGGUGAGUAACGCGUGGGGAAUCUGCCUUUGAGCGGGGGACAUCAUUUGGAAACGAAUGCUAAUACCGCAUAAAAACUUUAAACACAAGUUUUAAGUUUGAAAGAUGCAAUUGCAUCACUCAAAGAUGAUCCCGCGUUGUAUUAGCUAGUUGGUGAGGUAAAGGCUCACCAAGGCGAUGAUACAUAGCCGACCUGAGAGGGUGAUCGGCCACAUUGGGACUGAGACACGGCCCAAACUCCUACGGGAGGCAGCAGUAGGGAAUCUUCGGCAAUGGACGAAAGUCUGACCGAGCAACGCCGCGUGAGUGAAGAAGGUUUUCGGAUCGUAAAACUCUGUUGGUAGAGAAGAACGUUGGUGAGAGUGGAAAGCUCAUCAAGUGACGGUAACUACCCAGAAAGGGACGGCUAACUACGUG
rnacentral:rRNA from 1 species